UACGAAGGGAGCUAGCGUUGUUCGGAAUCACUGGGCGUAAAGCGCACGUAGGCGGAUGUGUCAGUCAGGGGUGAAAUCCCGGAGCUCAACUUCGGAACUGCCUUUGAUACAGCACGUCUUGAGUCCGAUAGAGGUGGGUGGAAUUCCUAGUGUAGAGGUGAAAUUCGUAGAUAUCUGGAGGAACACCGGUGGCGAAGGCGGCAUCCUGGACCAAUUCUGACACUGAGGAGCGAAAGCCAGGGGAGCAAACGGG
rnacentral:rRNA from 1 species